ACGCUGGCGGCAUGCCUAAUACAUGCAAGUAGAACGCUGAAGGAGGAGCUUGCUUCUCCGGAUGAGUUGCGAACGGGUGAGUAACGCGUAGGUAACCUGCCUGGUAGCGGGGGAUAACUAUUGGAAACGAUAGCUAAUACCGCAUAACAGUAGAUGUUGCAUGACAUUUGCUUAAAAGGUGCAAUUGCAUCACUACCAGAUGGACCUGCGUUGUAUUAGCUAGUUGGUGGGGUAACGGCUCACCAAGGCGACGAUACAUAGCCGACCUGAGAGGGUGAUCGGCCACACUGGGACUGAGACACGGCCCAGACUCCUACGGGAGGCAGCAGUAGGGAAUCUUCGGCAAUGGACGGAAGUCUGACCGAGCAACGCCGCGUGAGUGAAGAAGGUUUUCGGAUCGUAAAGCUCUGUUGUAAGAGAAGAACGAGUGUGAGAGUGGAAAGUUCACACUGUGACGGUAUCUUACCAGAAAGGGACGGCUAACUACGUGCCAGCAGCCGCGGUAAUACGUAGGUCCCGAGCGUUGUCCGGAUUUAUUGGGCGUAAAGCGAGCGCAGGCGGUUAGAUAAGUCUGAAGUUAAAGGCUGUGGCUUAACCAUAGUACGCUUUGGAAACUGUUUAACUUGAGUGCAAGAGGGGAGGGUGGAAUUCCAUGUGUAGCGGUGAAAUGCGUAGAUAUAUGGAGGAACACCGGUGGCGAAAGCGGCUCUCUGGCUUGUAACUGACGCUGAGGCUCGAAAGCGUGGGGAGCAAACAGGAUUAGAUACCCUGGUAGUCCACGCCGUAAACGAUGAGUGCUAGGUGUUGGACCCUUUCCGGGGUUUAGUGCCGCAGCUAACGCAUUAAGCACUCCGCCUGGGGAGUACGACCGCAAGGUUGAAACUCAAAGGAAUUGACGGGGGCCCGCACAAGCGGUGGAGCAUG
rnacentral:rRNA from 1 species